UCGUUCUUCAACCGCGACAUGGCCGCCACCGAUGGCCAAAUCAUAUUGGCCGCCUCCCGAUUCGGCGAUGCCACGCCCGUCUAUUUGCGCGACUUCUCCAAGCAACCCCUGCCGGCGGUGGCCAAGAUCCUCAAGGGCCAGCACCAGGCCCUCGGCGUGCCCACGCUCUCGGCCCCCUCGCUGCAGAGCACGGCGCUGUUCCUGAGCGCCGGCAAGAAGUACCAGAUCCUUGCCCAACCCAUCAAGAUCAAGGAGGGUCGCAAGCCCACCAAUGUGGGGGCCAAGGUGCUCAUCCCGCAGACCUAUGGCGGCUACUUUGAGCUGCUCAGCGAGGAUGGCCGCUCGACUCGCUGCAUCGACUCGGUCCUCGAGCUGUCGCGUCGCCGCAAUGCCCGCGUUCUUGUGCGGGAGACGUUCCGCUGCCAGCAGAUGAACCGCACCAUCCACGCGGGCGAGCUGCUGACCACGAUGAACGACAACGGCAAGUACCUGCAGUGCCGCAACAUCAAGGACGAGAUCAUCAAUCUGCCACUCGAUACCAAAGCCAAGUUCUCGGCCAUAGCGCGCGAGGACAGCAUCAGCGGUGUGCACACCGUCAAGAAUCUGCUCCUCAAGCGGAUGCCAGUCAUUGUGAGACUCGUCCAUGGCAGUGCCCCCAAGGGACUGAAGCAGCCCUUUGUCCCCGAUCUGCGGCUGCUGGGAUACGUGGAAAUCGAUCGGAUCUUUGCCCUGCCCCUGCAUAAGGACACCGAUCUGGCGCCAGUGCCGCUGAACGCAAAGAUCAAGCUGCAGCGGGUCAAGAACAUGGAGCAGCUGGAGCACUUUAUCGAGUACACGCGCUUUCUGGAAAAGGCCCAGUGCCUGCUGGCGGAUGCGCGCGAUCGCCUGCAGAUCGUCGAUCUCAAGCUGAGCGAGAAGGAGAAGAAGGACUCCAAGUUCCACAGUCGGAACGGCAGCGGAAAUCGGCUGCCGGUGGUGAUGCUGCCCACGGCCGCGGGCAUGGCCAGCGGACUGGCGGAGAGCGGCUAUGUGCUGCGCAAGAGCGCCAGCUGCGACUCCUGGUCCAAGCAGCACCAGCACGCGUUGAACAGCGAGAUCGCCGAGGAGUACAACGAGAUCGAUCACAUUUACGACUAUGUGCGGGGCCUGACGCCCCUCUCCAAGGGCCUGGCGCGCUUCGAGCCCAUCUGCGAGUCGCCCACACUCAAAUCGCACCACACGGACAGCGGCAGCGGCAACUACUGCAGCCUCAUCCGUGCCCCCAUCCCCCAUCAGCAGUCGAGUCAGCAAGCCGCCUCCUCCUCCGCCAACAACAACAACAGCAGCCUGGAGUCGAACAAGCAUAGCAGCAGCAAUGGAGGCAACGGAGGCAACGGCCACCACCAGCAUCCCCAUCCGCAUCAGCACCAGCAUCCACAUCCACAUCCGCAUCAGCAUAGCCAUGGCCAUCACAUGGUGAAUCAUUAUCACCAUAGCCAUAUACAGGAGGACAUCAAGCCGGUGCCGCCGCCGAUUGAGACGAUACCCGGCAAGAAGCCGGCGGAGAAGCGUCAACGUCCCACUCUACCAAAGCUUUACAUCAAGAAUGCCAAUGCCCACAGUGCCGGCAGCAGCAGCAACGGCAACUCCACGGGCACCGGCACCGGCACCGCCACCACUCACAGUCACAGUCACAGCCAUAGUCACAGUCACAGUCACAACCAUCAGCAGCAGCAGCAACAGUUGCAGAUGCAACAACAGCCGACGACCCCCAAUGGAAAUACGGCGAAUGCUGUGGCCAAUGCGGCUGCUGCUGCGGUGGCAGCUGCCCAUCAUCAUGGCUCCUUGCACAACCACUCGCACAGCUCCCAUCCGCACGCGCAUCCCCAUCCGCAUCCCCAUCACGGCAAGGUGCUGACGCCCAACAAUCAUUUGCCAGCCAAGGAGGCGCUGGAACCGCAAUCCCCGCUGUUUCACAUCAGGUACAAAAGCCUCAGCAGCCUGCAGUUGACGCCGGACAACAAUAAUAUACCCAUGACGCCGCCGACGAUCUCAGCCCAUGGCAAGGCAGCGGCAGUACCGGCAUCGAACGCAUCGCCCGGCACACCACCCGAUGUGGUUCUCAAGUGCGGCAGCAUCCUCAAUGCGCACGGCCAUCUGUCGUCGGGGGCACCGGGCACGGCUUUGGGGAUGCCACAUCCGCACAGCCGCAGCUCCAGCAGCAAUAACCACCACAAUCCGCGCGAGGGGACGCUGGACUCGUCGCGAAGCGGCGGCCGGACAUCGGGCGACUCGAACAAGCUGCCGGAGAAGAAGACGCGACGCUUAUCACGGCCCAGGAGCCUGUCGAAUCUGGUGUGGGACUUGCGGCCAUCCAAAGAGAAGUCCAAGAAGAAGCUCUAUAUACAUCAUUUCGAUCAGAGGCAGCAGGCGACGUUGUAUCUUUAAGAUGUUGACGAUGAUGAUGAUGAUGAUGAUGUAGAAGUAGCUAAAGAUGAUGACGAUGAUGAGGAUGAUGAGGAAGUAGCAGAUGAUGAUGAUUCGUUACCAACUCGUUUCUAGCUGCCAUCGACCCCCAACAACAGAGAGAUCUACAAAAUACAACCCAACCAACCAACAAUAAGAUGGAAAACUACAAACAUUUGGAACGCUGCGUGUGUUCCUGCAGCUUUCACCAAUUUAAAUAGCUUGCAACAGCAAUUUUUAAUUAACAUUGUGCCUUUCCCUGCUAUGCCCCAAGAACGACCGAAUUUCCAAUGAAAUAUUCAACAAGAAUAUAUCUAAAUGGAAUAGAAACGAUUAAAUGAAUGAUUGAAGGAAGGCCCUGAAAGCAGAGUUUGAAGGAAGAAUCGUAUAGAAAUGCUGACAGAACACAUCCACACAUCAAGUCUAUAAAAUUGUGAUUUUAAUUUUAUGUUUAAUUUAAUAAUUACUUGGAAAACCAAUUUUAUUAAUUUUAUGGAAAAGCCAUUCAUGCGAAUCAGUCAAAUACGAGAAAAAACAAAAACACACAAGAAAAUUUCACAAAAAAAAGCCACAAAAUAAAGAUUAAACAUACUAUAUAUAUGAGUAUAUAUAUAUAUAGAUAUAUAUGUGUAUAAAACCGAAUGGCAAUGUCAAUGUGUAACUAAAAAGUAAGAAAUAUUACGAUUACGAUUAUAACCGUGUAAUCAUUUAGUGGAAAAAAAAACACACACACCUAAAAUGUAGCUAAAAUGAAUUUAUAAAUUAAUGCAAUCGAUUUUCUCCUCAUAGUUUAGAUGUUGUGCAAACUGUUGAUCGAAUGCAAUCCAUAAUUACAUAUAAUCGAAUAGCUCUCGUUUAGCAAUUAGUUUCAUCUUUUUACCACACACUCUGCUGGCAAAUCGCAAAACGCAUUGUCUUUAGUCGUUUAGUCUGUACAUUUUAGUUGUAUUCAAACAGCUUAUAUGGCCUACAAAUAGAGCGUAUCCAUACAUACUAUACAAUAUACUAUAGAAAUAUAUCUUGUAUUUGUGUCUAAAUAAAUGUCUCAGAUAAAUAAAUGUAUAUGCAAAGCAAAGCAAAGC